AUUUCCUUCGGGACUGAUUAUUUUGUGACUGAGUGGCGGACGGGUGAGUAACGCGUGGGUAACCUGCCUUGUACAGGGGGAUAACAGUUGGAAACGACUGCUAAUACCGCAUAAGCGCACGGCAUCGCAUGAUGCAGUGUGAAAAACUCCGGUGGUAUAAGAUGGACCCGCGUUGGAUUAGCUAGUUGGUGAGGUAACGGCCCACCAAGGCGACGAUCCAUAGCCGACCUGAGAGGUUGAACGGCCACAUUGGUACUGAGACACGGACCAAACUCC
rnacentral:rRNA from 1 species